GAACCUGGUCAAGCACAUUUGCACCCGAGGGACACAUGGCAGCCAUCCGGAGGCAGCACAAGAUGGAUCCACUAAGGGUCGAAUUUCAUCAUCCGGGAGGAUCUAAAAGCCCGCAACGGAUUUGUGAUUUGAUCUCCCGCAACCCCUCAUCCAGAUCCCGCGAUCAAGGCCCUCAUCUUCCGCCCGUUUAAGGCGCUUCCCAGCUUCCUCCUUCCGCUUGCGAC
rnacentral:lncRNA from 1 species